GAUGAACGCUGGCGGCGUGCCUAAUACAUGCAAGUCGAGCGAACAGACGAGGAGCUUGCUCCUCUGACGUUAGCGGCGGACGGGCGAGUAACACGUGGAUAACCUACCUAUAAGACGGGGAUAACUUCGGGAAACCGGAGCUAAUACCGGAGAAUAUAUUGAACCGCAGGGUUCAAUAGUGAAAGACGGUUUUGCUGGCACUUAUAGAGGGAUCCGCGCCGCAUUAGCUAGUUGGUAAGGUAACGGCUUACCAAGGCAACUAUGCGUAGCCGACCUGAGGGGGUGAUCGCCCACCCUGGAACUGAGCCACGGUCCAUGCUCCUACGGGAGGCAGCAGUAGCGAAUCUUCCGCAAUGGGCGAAAGCCUGACGGAGCAACGCCGCGUGAGUGAUGAAGGUCUUCGGAUCGUAAAACUCUGUUAUUAGGGAAGAACAAAUUUGUAAGUAACUAUGCACGUCUUGACGGUACCUAAUCAGAAAGCCACGGCUAACUACGUG
rnacentral:rRNA from 1 species